GAUGAACGCUGGCGGCGUGCCUAAUACAUGCAAGUCGAGCGAACGGACGAGAAGCUUGCUUCUCUGAUGUUAGCGGCGGUCGGGUGAUUAACACGUGGAUAACCUACCUAUCAGACUGGGAUAACUUUGGGAAACCGUAGCUAAUACCGGAUAAUAUUUUGAACCUCAUUGUUCAAAAGUGAAAGACGGUCUUGCUGUCACUUAUAGCUUGAUCCGCGCUGCAUUAGCUAGUUGGUAAGGUAACUGCUUACCAAGGCAACGAUGCAUAGCCGACCUGAGAGGGUGAUCGGACACACUGGAACUGAGACACGGUCCAGACUCCUACGGGAGGAAGCAGUAGGGAAUCUUACGCAAUGGGCGAAAGCCGGACGGAGCAACGCCGCGUGAGUGAUGAAGGUCUUCUGAUCGUAAAACGAUGUUAUUAGGGAAGAACAUAUGUGUAAGUAACUGGGAACAUCAUGACGGUACCGAAACAGAAAGCCACGGCUAACUACGUG
rnacentral:rRNA from 1 species